UUUAACUGAGCGUUCAGUUACUUGACGUAGACCCGAAACCGGGCGACCUACCCAUGAGCAGGAUGAAGCGAAAGUAAAAUUUCGUGGAGGUCCGAACCCACGAGCGUUGAAAAGCUCGGGGAUGACUUGUGGGUAGCGGUGAAAUUCCAAUCGAGCCCGGAGAUAGCUGGUUCUCCCCGAAAUAGCUUUAGGGCUAGCCUCAAGGUGAGAGAUACGGAGGUAGAGCACUGAAUGUCCUAGGGGGUAUUGCACCUACCGAAGACUAUCAAACUCCGAAUGCCGUCAUCUUAUACUUGGGAGUCAGACUGUGGGUGAUAAGAUUCAUAGUCGAAAGGGCAACAGCCCAGAUCGUCAGCUAAGGUCCCUAAAUGUAAGUUAAGUGGUAAAGGAUGUGGGAUUGCACAGACAACCAGGAUGUUGGCUUAGAAGCAGCCACUCAUUCAAAGAGUGCGUAAUAGCUCACUGGUCGAGUGAUCCUGCGCCGAAGAUUUCCGGGGCUAAAACUUACUACCGAAGCUACGGCAUCAGUAAUGAUGGGUAGGGGAGCUUCCCAUACGGGUUGAAGCAUGACCGUAAGGACAUGUGGACAGUAUGGGAGUGAGAAUGUUGGCAUGAGUAGCGAGAUGUGGGUGAGAAUCCCACAGGCCGUAAACCCAAGGUUUCCAGGGGAAGGUUCGUCCGCCCUGGGUUAGUCGGGACCUAAGCUGAGGCCGAAAGGCGUAGGUGAUGGACAACAGGUUGAUAUUCCUGUACUACCGAUAACCGUUUGAGAGAAGGGAUGACACAGUAGGAUAAGCUAAGCACACUGUUGGUUAUGUGUGCCCAAGCAUUGAGGCAGUCAAAGUAGGCAAAUCCGCUUUGAUAAUGCUGGGGUGUGAUGGGGAGCGAAAUUUAGUAGCGAAGUAGCUGAUUUCACACUGUCAAGAAAAGUCUCUAUCGAGGUUAAAGGUACCCGUACCGCAAACCGACACAGGUGGGUGAGGAGAGUAUCCUAAGGCCAGCGAGAGAACUGUUGUUAAGGAACUCGGCAAAAUGACCCCGUAACUUAGGGAUAAGGGGUGCCACCAUCAGGUGGCCGCAGAGAAUAGGCCCAAGCGACUGUUUACCAAAAACAUAGGUUUCUGCUAAGUCGCAAGACGAUGUAUAGGAGCUGACGCCUGCCCGGUGCUGGAAGGUUAAGGGGAUCUGUUAGAGCAAUCGAAGCAGUGAACUUAAGCCCCAGUAAACGGCGGCCGUAACUAUAACGGUCCUAAGGUAGCGAAAUUCCUUGUCGGGUAAGUUCCGACCCGCACGAAAGGCGUAACGAUUUGGGCACUGUCUCAACAACAGACUCGGUGAAAUUGUAAUUCCGGUGAAGAUGCCGGAUACCUGCGACAGGACGGAAAGACCCCAUGGAGCUUUACUGUAGCUUGACAUUGGGUCUUGGUACUACAUGUACAGGAUAGGUGGGAGGCUUUGAAACCAGGACGCCAGUUUUGGCGGAGCCAUCCUUGGGAUACCACCCUUGUAGUACUGGGACUCUAACCAUAGGCCAUGAAUCUGGUCUUGGGACACUGUCAGGUGGGCAGUUUGACUGGGGCGGUCGCCUCCCAAAAGGUAACGGAGGCGCUCAAAGGUUCUCUCAGUACGGUCGGAAAUCGUACGUAGAGUGUAAAGGCAAAAGAGAGCUUGAUUGCAAGACAUACAGGUCGAGCAAGGAUGAAAAUCGGACUUAGUGAUCCGGUGGUUCUGCGUGGAAGGGCCAUCGCUCAACGGAUAAAAGCUACCCUGGGGAUAACAGGCUUAUCUCCCCCAAGAGUCCACAUCGACGGGGAGGUUUGGCACCUCGAUGUCGGCUCAUCACAUCCUGGGGCUGUAGUAGGUCCCAAGGGUUGGGCUGUUCGCCCAUUAAAGUGGUACGCGAGCUGGGUUCAGAACGUCGUGAGACAGUUCGGUCCCUAUCCGUCGCAGGCGUAGGAAAUUUGAGAAGACCUGUCCUUAGUACGAGAGGACCGGGAUGGACG
rnacentral:rRNA from 1 species